rnacentral:rRNA from 1 species
CCCUUAGAUGUUCUGGGCCGCACACGCGCUACACUGAAGGAGGCAGCGUGUACUCCUGGAUCGAAAGAUUUGGGUAACCCGCGAAUCUCCUUCGUGCUAGGGAUUGAGGUUUGCAAUUAUCCUUCAUGAACGAGGAAUUCCCAGUAAGUGCAAGUCAUAAGCUUGCGCUGACUACGUCCCUGCCCUCUGUACACACCGCCCGUCGCUCCUACCGAUCGAGCGAUCCAAUGAAUGUUUCGGAGCGGAUCUGCGAUGCUACGCGUCUCUUAUUCGCGAAUUUGUGUGAAUUUGAUCGCUUAGAGGAAGGAGAAGUCGUAACA